CCUACGGGUGGCAGCAGUGAGGAAUAUUGGUCAAUGGACGGAAGUCUGAACCAGCCAUGCCGCGUGCAGGAAGACGGCUCUAUGAGUUGUAAACUGCUUUUGUACGAGGGUAAACCUGAAUACGUGUAUUCAGCUGAAAGUACCGUACGAAUAAGGAUCGGCUAACUCCGUGCCAGCAGCCGCGGUAAUACGGAGGAUUCAAGCGUUAUCCGGAUUUAUUGGGUUUAAAGGGUGCGUAGGCGGGUUGAUAAGUUAGAGGUGAAAUGUCGGGGCUUAACUCCGGCACUGCCUCUGAUACUGUCGGGCUAGAGAGUAGAUGCGGUAGGCGGAAUGUAUGGUGUAGCGGUGAAAUGCUUAGAGAUCAUACAGAACACCGAUUGCGAAGGCAGCUUACCAAUCUAUAUCUGACGUUGAGGCACGAAAGCGUGGGGAGCAAACAGGAUUAGAUACCCGGGUAGUC
rnacentral:rRNA from 1 species